rnacentral:rRNA from 1 species
UACGUAGGCAGCGAGCGUUGUUCGGAAUUACGUGGCGUAAAGAGUGUGUAGGCGGUGCUCUAAGUUCGGUGUGAAAUCUCCCGCUUAACUGGGAGGGUGCGCCGGAAACUGGAGUGCUCGAGCGUGGGAGAGGAAAGCGGAAUUCCUGGUGUAGCGGUGAAAUGCGUAGAUAUCAGGAGGAACACCGGUGGUGUAGACGGCUCACUGGACCAUAACUGACGCUGAGACACGAAAGCGUGGGUAGCAAACAGG